rnacentral:rRNA from 1 species
UCGAGCGAUCUUCUUCGGAAGAGAGCGGCGGACGGGUGAGUAACGCGUGGGUAACCUGCCUCAUACACAUGGAUAACAUACCGAAAGGUAUGCUAAUACAAGAUGAUAUAAGAGAUUCGCAUGGAUUUUUAUUCAAAGCUUUUGCGGUAUGAAAUGGACCCGCGUCUGAUUAGCUAGUUGGUAAGGUAAUAGCUUACCAAGGCUUCGAUCAGUAGCCGAUCUGAGAGGGUGAUCGGCCACAUUGGAACUGAGACACGGUCCAAACUCC